UACGGAGGGGGCAAGCGUUGUUCGGAAUUACUGGGCGUAAAGGGCUCGUAGGCGGCCAACUAAGUCAGACGUGAAAUCCCUCGGCUUAACCGGGGAACUGCGUCUGAGACUGGAUGGCUCGAGUGUGGGAGAGGGAUGCGGAAUUCCAGGUGUAGCGGUGAAAUGCGUAGAUAUCUGGAGGAACAUCGGUGGCGAAGGCGGCAUCCUGGACCAUGACUGACGCUGAGGAGCGAAAGCCAGGGGAGCAAACGGG
rnacentral:rRNA from 1 species